rnacentral:rRNA from 1 species
GCUGUGGAUAGGGGUGAAAGGCUAAACAAAUCCGGAAAUAGCUGGUUCUCCCCGAAAACUAUUUAGGUAGUGCGUCUUAUAUCACUGACGGGGGUAAAGCACUGUUAUGGCUAGGGGGUCAUCGCGACUUACCAAACCAUGGCAAACUCUGAAUACCGUCAAGUGCGAGUAAGGCAGACAGACAGUGGGUGCUAACGUCCAUUGUCAAGAGGGAAACAACCCAGACCGCCAGCUAAGGUCCCCAAGACACAGUUAAGUGGGAAACGAAGUGGGAAGGCAUAGACAGCUAGGAGGUUGGCUUAGAAGCAGCCACCCUUUAAAGAAAGCGUAAUAGCUCACUAGUCGAGUCGUCCUGCGCGGAAGAUGUAACGGGGCUCAAACUGUGCACCGAAGCUGCGGAUAUCGAAAGAUAUGGUAGGGGAGCGUUCUGUAGGUCUGUG